rnacentral:rRNA from 1 species
UACGAAGGGAGCGAGCGUUGUUCGGAAUCACUGGGCUUAAAGCGUGCGUAGGCGGAUAUGUAAGUCAGAAGUGAAAUCCCCGGGCUUAACCCGGGAACUGCUUUUGAGACUGCGUAUCUUGAAUUCGGUAGAGGUUAGUGGAAUAUCCAGUGUAGAGGUGAAAUUCGCAGAUAUUGGAUGGAACACCAGUGGCGAAGGCGACUAACUGGACCGACAUUGACGCUGAGGCACGAAAGCGUGGGGAGCAAACAGG